rnacentral:rRNA from 1 species
AGUGAACGCUGGCGGUAGGCCUAACACAUGCAAGUCGAACGGCAGCACAGUAAGAGCUUGCUCUUACGGGUGGCGAGUGGCGGACGGGUGAGGAAUACAUCGGAAUCUACUUUUUCGUGGGGGAUAACGUAGGGAAACUUACGCUAAUACCGCAUACGACCUACGGGUGAAAGCAGGGGAUCUUCGGACCUUGCGCGAUUGAAUGAGCCGAUGUCGGAUUAGCUAGUUGGCGGGGUAAAGGCCCACCAAGGCGACGAUCCGUAGCUGGUCUGAGAGGAUGAUCAGCCACACUGGAACUGAGACACGGUCCAGACUCCUACGGGAGGCAGCAGUGGGGAAUAUUGGACAAUGGGCGCAAGCCUGAUCCAGCCAUACCGCGUGGGUGAAGAAGGCCUUCGGGUUGUAAGGCCCUUUUGUUGGGAAAGAAAAGCAGCAGGUUAAGACCCCGCUGUUCUGACGGUACCCAAAGAAUAAGCACCGGCUAACUUCGU